rnacentral:lncRNA from 1 species
UUAUACAUAGAGGAGUAGAGACAGGAGAGAGAGAGGACUGGGAGGCUGGCCUUCAGUAACUCAGGAGAGGCUUACUACAUAGAGUGAGUAGAGACAGGAGAGAGAGAACUGGGAGCUGGCCUUCAGUAACUCAGGAGAGGCUUACUACAUAGAGUGGCGUAGAGACAGGAGGAGAGAAGAGGACUGGGAGGCUGGUCCUCCAGUAACUCAGGAGAGGCUUACUACAUAGAGUGAGUAGAGACCGGAGAGAGGGGACUGGGAGAUGGCCUUUCAGUACUCAGGAGAGGCUUACUACAUAGAGUAGAGACAGGAGAGAGAGAGGACUGGGGCUGGCCUCAGUAAAUCAGGAGUGCCUUUACUUACAUAGAGUGAGUAGAGGACAGGAGACGAGGAU